AGGCCAUUUUCAAUCCAGAGGAAGACCUUCUAAAAGAGGUGAUGGAUGGGAGAGUGCUGACAUACUAUGUGAAGCUACUAUUUGGAGUUGGACACGAGUGCAUGUGACCUUGUGCCACAGCGGGAAUCUUGACUACCACACAAAUGAAUCCAUUCAAAUGUUGGCAAGUGGAGCAGAGUCCCAGGACAGGUGCUGCAGCAGCCCGGCUGGAAGCGAUGCAGCAUCCAGGACGACGGAGGAAGGGGCAGAGAGGGACCUCUGCUUUCCAGGCUGCCUUUUAUACUGCCUCUGGUCACCUGACGUGGAACGUACCCUAACCUAAUCAGUUACAUGAGGCGCUUGGAAACCACCGUCAAUUGGACCGCACUGGGAAACACAGAUGAACAAAGUCAACACCGCUUUGUCCUGCAGUGCCUGGCUCCUUUUUCAGCUCGUCUUGCGACUCCAGGUAUUGGAGUCCAGGGAGGGGUACGUCGCCUUUACCCUGUGCUUGCCACGAUCUUGUCUCCUUAAUCCUCACUGCAGUUCUCUGCCAUAGAGUCUUAUACUGCUUUACAUGUGGGAAACUGAGGCUCAGAGAGUUUCACAGCAGGGCAGGGAGCCCAGAUGUGAAUCUGUAGAUACCAAACUUUCUAAUUUUUCAGUAGUUUCCAAGCAUCUUUUAUUUUUCUUGUUUCUUCGUUGGUGUCUUUUUUUUUUUUUUUUUUUUUUUGAGACAAAAUCUCUGUGCCCAGGCUGAGGUGCAGUGGUGUGAUCUCAGCUCACUGCAACCUCGACGUCUCACAUUCAACAAUUCUCAUGCCUCAACCUCCCGAGUGGCUGGGACUACAGGUGCCCACCACACCCAACUUAUUUUUGUAUUUUUAGUAGAAACACGGUUUUGCCAUGUUGGCCAGGCUGGUCUUGAACUCCUGACCUCAGGUGAUCCACCCGCCUUGGCCUCCCAAUAUGCUGGAAUUAUUGAUAUGAGCCAUUGGGCCCGGUCAUGUCAUUGGUGCCUUAACCAAGCCUCUUUUAAUUUUUCAAACGGAAGAGCCCCUGUCCCUCAGUUACGGCUGCUGAGCCCUUUCAAGGUGAGUCAGUGAGGAGGGAGAAAAGCGGAAGUGGUGUGGGAAGAGGCGGGGUCUGGGCCAGCUGCUGGUCCUGCUCUCCUCCCUCCUUUGGCCUCUAGGCUCCCAGGAGUGGUUUCGAACCUGCGCCAUGUGCUCUGGAGGCUGUGGCAAGGCAGGCGCGGCUUGGAACCCGCACCAUGUGCUCUGGGGGCUGUGGCAAGGCAGGGGCAGCUUGGAACCUGCGCCAUGUGCUCUGGGGGCUGUGCCAGGGCAGGGGGAGUCCUCGUGUCCCCUGCGCACAACACAGACAGAAGGCUGGGUCCACCCAGUGGGCGGUCGGGUGCCAGGCCAGUGCUUACCCCGCCAUGUUUGCAGCCCGAGGCCAGCUGGCUGCAGGUGCAGGACUAGGCGUCAGGGGUCAGGGUGCACACAUCCCUGCAGGUCUCGGGGCUCCUGGGUUGCUUCUGGAAGGGCACAGAUGGGACCUGACUGGAGCUGCAGAGGGGUGGAGCUUCUGGGGAAAGGAUCCCUCCUAGGGGGAGUGUCUUGGGCCUGGGGCCACGUGGCAGGGACAGAGACGGGUCCAUGGCAGUGUCUGCUCUUCUCUGUGAAGGCAAAAAGCCUCUGAGGGAGUAUUACAGCCGCCUCAUCCACCAGAAGCAUUUCCAGCAGAUCCAGGUCUGCACCCCCUGACUGCAGGGCCAAGGACUACCCCCGCUUCUAGGUGAGAGGCCAGCAGGAGGCUCAGGGAGGAGGCGGGGCCUUAAGCAGGGGGAGCAGGGGUGGGCAUGAUGUACUUUUUCUGAAAAGGUGGCUCUGGAGGCCACUUGGGGACAGGACCUGGGCUCUGGCUGAACUCCCGGGAGGAGGCUACUUCCUGGUGUGCCAGCCCCUCCCUGCCAGGUCGCCCCAGAGGCCCUUUACCAAGGGGUUUGAGGAGGCCACGUCCUUUCAGUCUGCCACGCCCUCCAUUGCAUCCUCUUCCUUCCUCCAGGAGGGCUGGGCCUGGGUUUGGGGCCACUGUUGCCCAGGUGGGGGAGGGCAGUGGCUUUGGGAGGAACAGGGACGAUGUGUCAAACAGCAUCGCCUCUCCCAGUGAGAUGGUUCUCCUUUGCCUCCGUCUCUUUCCCCAUUGAUUUCUCCAAGUGGGGAGUCAUGGCUUGGUCCUGAUACGUCUCUAGAGCUGCAUCUUCCAGCUUCGAGUGAGCAGAGCAGUUGGAGUCUGAGGGCCUUUUCCUGGCAGGAUUCUCCAGCUAGUCUUUGUUUUAGACAGUCUUGCUCCGUUGCCCAGGCUGGAGUGCACGAUCUCAGUUCAUGCAACCUCCGCCUCCUGGGUUCAAGCGAUUCACCCACCUCAGCCUCCCAAGUAGAUUACAGGAUUACAGGAGUCCACCACAACAGCUGGCUUAUUUUUGUAUUUUUAGUAGAGACAGGGUUUCACCAUGUUGUCCAGGCUGGUCUUGAACUCCUGACCUCAAGUGAUCCUCUCGCCUUGGCCUCCCUAAGUGCUGGGAUUCCAGGCGUGACCCAUCAUGCCUGGCCCCAGGUAGUCUUUAGAAAUGUUAAGCUAUUUGGCUUUAUUUUCACACUGACAGCUGGUUUGUGGUGGGUGUGUUAUGGUUUAUUAUUAUUAUUAUUAUUAUCAUUAUUAUUAUUUUGAGACGGAGUUUCGCUCUUGUAGACCAGGCUGGAGUGCAAUGGCGCGAUCUUCGCUCACCGCAACCUCUGCCUUCCCAGGUUCAAGCGAUUCUCCUGCCUCAGCCGCCUGAGUAGCUGGGAUUACAGGCACAUGCCACGGAUUAGCAUCGCUAAUUUUGUAUUUAUUUUUAGUAGAGAUGGGGAUUCACCAUGUUGGCCAGGCUGGUCUUGAACUCCUGACCUCAGGUGAUCCACCCGCCUUGGCCUCCCAAAAUGCUGGGAUUACAGGCGGGAGGUGAACCUGGGAGGUGGAGGUUGCAGGGAGCUGAGAUUGUGCCACUGCACUCCAGCCUGGGUGACAGAGUGAGACUCUGUCUCAAAACAAAACAAACAACAACAAC
rnacentral:lncRNA from 1 species